rnacentral:lncRNA from 1 species
UUGAUUAAAAAGGUGAUCAGGACUGCAAAAGCCCCCAGGGUCCUUGGGCCAUAUGGCCAAGGUGUGUUAGUCAACAGGACCAUUUACAUUUCAGGACAGCUAGUCAUGGACUCUUCAAAUGCACAGCUUGUGGCAGGAGAGGUAGCCAAAGCAGCUAAACAAGCUCUUACAAAAAUGGGUGAAGUUCUGAAGACUGCAGGCUGUGACUUCACUAAUGUGGUAAACAAUUUUGCUGGUGGACAUAAAUGACUUCAGUACUGUCAGUGUAAUUUACAAACAGUACUUCAGGACUAAUUUUCCAGGUAGAGCUGCUUACCAGGUUGUUACUUUGGCCAAAGGAGUCUGAAUUGAAAUGGAAGCAGUAGCUGUCCAAGGACCUCUCACAACAGCAUGACUGUAA